rnacentral:rRNA from 1 species
AACGAACGCUGGCGGCAUGCCUAACACAUGCAAGUCGAACGAGAUCUUCGGGUCUAGUGGCGCACGGGUGCGUAACGCGUGGGAAUCUGCCCUUUGGUUCGGAAUAACAGUUAGAAACGACUGCUAAUACCGGAUGAUGACGAAAGUCCAAAGAUUUAUUGCCAGAGGAUGAGCCCGCGUAGGAUUAGCUAGUUGGCGUGGUAACGGAGCACCAAGGCGACGAUCCUUAGCUGGUCUGAGAGGAUGAUCAGCCACACUGGGACUGAGACACGGCCCAGACUCCUACGGGAGGCAGCAGUGGGGAAUAUUGGACAAUGGGCGAAAGCCUGAUCCAGCAAUGCCGCGUGAGUGAUGAAGGCCUUAGGGUUGUAAAGCUCUUUUACCCGGGAUGAUAAUGACAGUACCGGGAGAAUAAGCUCCGGCUAACUCCGUGCCAGCCGCCGCAGUAA